UAGGGAAUAUUGGGCAAUGGAUGCAAGUCUGACCCAGCCAUGCCGCGUGCCGGAUGAAGGCCCUCAGGGUUGUAAACGGCUUUUAUUCGUGAAUAAGAGCACGGAUGCGUCUGUGUGUGACGGUACCGAAUGAAUAAGCACCGGCUAACCCCGUGCCAGCAGCCGCGGUAAUACGGAGGGUGCGAGCGCUUUCCGGAUUUAUUGGGUUUAAAGGGUGCGUAGGUGGCUUUUUAAGUCAGUGGUGAAAUACAGCCGCUCAACGGUUGAGGUGCCAUUGAUACUGAAAAGAGUGAGACAAGUGGAGGCUGCCGGAGUGGAUGGUGUAGCGGUGAAAUGCAUAGAUAUCAUCAGGAACACCGAUUGCGAAGGCAGGUGGCUACGUUUGAUUUGACACUGAGGCACGAAAGCAUGAGGAGAAAAAA
rnacentral:rRNA from 1 species